GCGGGUAUGGCGGAAUUGGUAGACGCGCUAGAUUCAGGUUCUAGUGAGAGCAACUUCAUGGAGGUUCAAGUCCUCUUACCCGCACCA
rnacentral:tRNA from 1 species